AUUGCACGCUGGCGGCAGGCUUAACACAUGCAAGUCGAGCGAGCGGCGGACGGGUGAGUAAUGUCUGGGAAACUGCCUGAUGGAGGGGGAUAACUACUGGAAACGGUAGCUAAUACCGCAUACCAUCAGAUGUCCCCCGAUGGGAUUAGCUAGUAGGUGGGGUAAUGUGUCCCCUAGGCGACGAGCCCUAGCUGGUCUGAGAGGAUGACCCGGCAGAGUGGAACGUGGAUACGGUACAGACUCCUACGGGAGGGAGCAGUGGGGAGUAUGGCGCGAGGGUGGCAAGUCGGAUGCAGCCAUGCCGCGUGUGUUAAGAAGGCCUUCGGGUUGUAAAGCACUUUCAUCGUGGAGGCGUUACUCGCAUAAGAAGAACCGGGUAACGCCGAGCGAGCAGCCGCGGUAAUUC
rnacentral:rRNA from 1 species